rfam:Chelonia mydas contig158703, whole genome shotgun sequence.
GUUUCUGUAGUGUAGUGGUUAUCAUGUUCAUCUAACACUUGAAAGGUCCCUGGUUCGAAACCGAGUGGAAACA